CAGCCGCCGCGGGAAUACAGAGGGUGCGAGCGUUAAUCGGAUUUACUGGGCGUAAAGCGUGCGUAGGCGGUUUCUUAAGUCGGAUGUGAAAUCCCUGAGCUUAACUUAGGAAUUGCAUUCGAUACUGGGAAGCUAGAGUAUGGGAGAGGAUGGUAGAAUUCCAGGUGUAGCGGUGAAAUGCGUAGAGAUCUGGAGGAAUACCGAUGGCGAAGGCAGCCAUCUGGCCUAAUACUGACGCUGAGGUACGAAAGCAUGGGGAGCAAACAGGAUUAGAUACCCCAGUAGUCCCUGUCUCUUAUAC
rnacentral:rRNA from 1 species